rnacentral:lncRNA from 1 species
GCAAAUAAGAUGAUGCAUGUGAAGGGCCUGGCACCUACUAGGGCUUAGUGGCCAAGGGCUGUGGCUGCCAUGUGCUUGUGCCUGUUGCCAGAUAGGGCUGUAGUUGUUGUCUUGUUCUCUAUCACUGUCCCCAUUUUUCUUUCUCUUCCUCUCCAUGCCCCCUGUCCGCCAUGUCUCUUCUGUCUCGUGUCUCAGUCUCUCUAGGUCUCUGUCCUCUGUCUCGCUGUGGAAAGUGCACAAGACUGGGAGUCAGGAGACCUGACUUGCUGUGUGAUCUUGGGCAAGUCACUUCCCCUUUCUAAAUCUCAGUUUCCUGAUCUGUAAAACAGGGGUUCUCAGCCUUACUUGCCUCCUUCCCUCCCAGGGUUGCUGGGAGGAUCACAAGAAAGUUGUCGAGUGAGGGGGUUUCCUUCUAUGUAGGGGUCAUGGUUAGGGUUGUUUUUGUCACUGGCUCAGGAUCCCUCUCUCUGUCUCACUGGGCCUCUGGGUCUCUCUGUGUCUUUGUCCUGGCCUUUGUUUGAGUCUUUGUCUCCCUCCCGGGGUCCCUGCUCAGUUGCCCUGAGCCUCAGUGGCCCUGCAGGACCACCUCAUUGCCCUCUUCCCUUCAGUGCUGGUCAUACCGCUGGUGGACAAGGAGGCAGGGGUGGUUGCCGCUGUCAUCUUGGUGCACUGUGGCCAGCUGAGUGACAGUGAGGAGCAGAGCCUGCAGGCAGUGGAGAAGCAUGUGAGUGGGGGUAGGGCCGUGGGAGAUGGGGACUGCACAAGACUGUUACAGCUGCUGACCAGACGACCUGGCCAGGGGCUGGGCAGACCUGCUUCCAGUUUCAGCUCCACAGUCUUUGAGCUGGGUGACCCUGAGCCAGUCACUUAACCUCUCUAAACUCCAGUUUCACACCAGAAGUGGGAGAAUGACAGCACUGACCUACCUACGUAGCCAGUCAAAUAUUUGUGCAUACUUAGGAAGGACUAAUUACCUAACGAUCUAGAGGCUCUUUUCUGCCUGAGAUUUCAGGAUUUUGUGUCCUAAGAUCUCCCCAUGGGUGCUAGAGACAGAAAUCUGACCUGGGAAGAAUCUAGGGCUGGGGGUAGAGACAAAUCCUUUAGUGUUCAUGGGACAAGUACAAGUUCAUGGGACAAGUUUAUGUCCCAGGGACGUCUAGGGACAGCGGGAGCCCUCAGGAGGGUGGAGAGCCUCUGCGCCUGAGUUGUUUGGAACCAGGGCCCGACGAAGAGCACAGCAGGCAGAGGGAGCGGCUCAGCAAACGCUGGGAGGCCCAGGGCGGAGAGCUCCGUG